rnacentral:rRNA from 1 species
GAUGAACGCUGGCGGCGUGCUUAACACAUGCAAGUCGAACGGAAAGGCCCAAGCUUGCUUGGGUACUCGAGUGGCGAACGGGUGAGUAACACGUGGGUGAUCUGCCCUGCACUUCGGGAUAAGCCUGGGAAACUGGGUCUAAUACCGGAUAGGACCACUUCUUGGAUGUUGUGGUGGAAAGUUUUUUCGGUGUGGGAUGAGCUCGCGGCCUAUCAGCUUGUUGGUGAGGUAAUGGCCUACCAAGGCGUCGACGGGUAGCCGGCCUGAGAGGGUGUACGGCCACAGUGGGACUGAGAUACGGCCCAGACUCCUACGGGAGGCAGCAGUGGGGAAUAUUGCACAAUGGGCGCAAGCCUGAUGCAGCGACGCCGCGUGGGGGAUGACGGCCUUCGGGUUGUAAACUCCUUUCGCUAGGGACGAAGCGUUUUGUGACGGUACCUGGAGAAGAAGCACCGGCUAACUACGUG